UCUUAUGUACAUGCCUACAACGUUAAUGCACCAGAUCCCAUCAUAACUCCACAGUUAAGCAUGCUUAGGCUAGAUUAGUACUGGGAUGGGUGACCUCCUGCAAGUCCUAGUGUUUUAUAUGCC
rfam:Picea glauca, whole genome shotgun sequence.